GAAUCUUCCGCAAUGGACGCAAGUCUGACGGAGCAACGCCGCGUGAGCGAUGAAGGUCUUCGGAUCGUAAAGCUCUGUUGUCAGGGAAGAACACGUGUGAGAGUAACUGCUCACACCUUGACGGUACCUGACCAGAAAGCCACGGCUAACUACGUGCCAGCAGCCGCGGUAAUACGUAGGUGGCAAGCGUUGUCCGGAAUUAUUGGGCGUAAAGGGCUCGCAGGCGGUCCCUUAAGUCUGAUGUGAAAUCUUGCGGCUUAACCGCAAGCGGUCAUUGGAAACUGGGGGACUUGAGUACAGAAGAGGAGAGUGGAAUUCCACGUGUAGCGGUGAAAUGCGUAGAGAUGUGGAGGAACACCAGUGGCGAAGGCGGCUCUCUGGUCUGUAACUGACGCUGAGGAGCGAAAGCGUGGGGAGCAAACAGG
rnacentral:rRNA from 1 species